rnacentral:rRNA from 1 species
AUUGAACGCUGGCGGCAUGCUUUACACAUGCAAGUCGAACGGUAACAGGUUAAGCUGACGAGUGGCGAACGGGUGAGUAAUGCAUCGGAACGUGCCCGGUCGUGGGGGAUAACGCAGCGAAAGCUGCGCUAAUACCGCAUACGAUCUGAGGAUGAAAGCGGGGGACCGUAAGGCCUCGCGCGAUCGGAGCGGCCGAUGUCAGAUUAGGUAGUUGGUGGGGUAAAGGCUCACCAAGCCGACGAUCUGUAGCUGGUCUGAGAGGACGACCAGCCACACUGGGACUGAGACACGGCCCAGACUCCUACGGGAGGCAGCAGUGGGGAAUUUUGGACAAUGGGCGCAAGCCUGAUCCAGCAAUGCCGCGUGCAGGAAGAAGGCCUUCGGGUUGUAAACGUGCUUUGUACGGAGCGAAAAGGUACUUCCCUAACUACGGAGGCUGAUGACGGUACCGUAAGAAUAAGACACCGGCUAACUACGUAGCCAGCAGCCGCGGUAA